AUUGAACGCUGGCGGCAGGCUUAACACAUGCAAGUCGAGCGGAGAUGAGGUGCUCGCACCUUAUCUUAGCGGCGGACGGGUGAGUAAUGCUUAGGAAUCUGCCUAUUAGUGGGGGACGACAUUCCGAAAGGAAUGCUAAUACCGCAUACGCCCUACGGGGGAAAGCAGGGGACCUUCGGACCUUGCGCUCAUAGAUGAGCCUAAGUCGGAUUAGCUAGUUGGUGGGGUAAAGGCCUACCAAGGCGACGAUCUGUAGCGGGUCUGAGAGGAUGAUCCGCCACACUGGGACUGAGACACGGCCCAGACUCCUACGGGAGGCAGCAGUGGGGAAUAUUGGACAAUGGGCGGAAGCCUGAUCCAGCCAUGCCGCGUGUGUGAAGAAGGCCUUUUGGUUGUAAAGCACUUUAAGCGAGGAGGAGGCUACCUGGAUUAAUACUCUAGGAUAGUGGACGUUACUCGCAGAAUAAGCACCGGCUAACUCUGUGCCAGCCGCCGCAGUAAAAC
rnacentral:rRNA from 1 species